GAUGAAGAACGCAGCGAAAUGCGAUAAGUAGUGUGAAUUGCAGAAUUCAGUGAAUCAUCGAAUCUUUGAACGCACAUUGCGGCCAUAGGUAUUCCUUUGGCCAUGCCUGUUCGAGCGUCAUUUACACCCUCAAGCCUAGCUUGGUGUUGGGCGUCAGUCCCGCCGUUCUCGCGCGCGGACUCGCCUCAAAGUCAUUGGCGGCGGUCGUGCCGGCCCCCUCGCGCAGCACAUUUGCGCUUCUCGGAGGCCCGGCGGAUCCGCGCUCCAGCAAGACCUUUCACGACUUGACCUCGGAUCAGGUAGGGAUACCCGCUGAACUUAAGCAUAUCAAUAAGCGGAGGA
rnacentral:misc_RNA from 1 species